GGGGUUUAGGGUUCAUAGAGUUGCCAUGUCAUAACCUUUGAACCCAGUAAAAGUAACUAUGGAAAAAUACCUAGUAAAUUGUAAUAAUUUCUCACUAAUCUGUGGACUUUGGGAAGUAGCUAAAACUGACAGAUACAAGGCAGUUGUUGAAACUUGAGCUGCUUCAGGUUCAAAUCAGCCUUGCACAGGGAUAGCUGAAUCUUUUCAAAGAUUGGGCUGGAGACUUUUUAUCAGCACAAAUGUCUUAAGCAGAGUUGUUGCCGAUGAGGUAGGAAAAGAUUGAAAAUUUGUUUGCCCAAGAGGUUUGCAUGGUUCGACCUCUUGGGGAUCAAAAACUUCUCAGACUAGACUUUCCUCUUUGGACAGAACUACCCAGUUCUCAGUGAGCAUUUGACCAGGACUAACUCAGGCCUUUGUGAACUCUUUCCCAUUGAGCACUUAGCCACCUGGCUGGCAUUUCUCUUCUCCCAGGAGCUUCCAUGUAUUAUGUCGACUUGAAUGAAUAUUUUAUGCCUAGAGUGCAGCUAAGCCUCAGACUUUGUGGCCCAUUAUCAACAAGCAGGGUGGGGGCCGGGUGCCACCUUUGGCCCCAUGAUAACAGCUCUGCUAAAUGGACUCCCCCGAAGAGCACUUUGAAGCCCAUUAAUGGACUGGAGUGAAGUAACCUCAGCAGAUGGAAAUGGUGAGGAGGAGGGGGAGGCCUGUUCUUUCUUCUUCCCUGAGACCUCCUGAUGAGCUUUCCUGUGGUAACCAGGACCCAGCCCCGACUCCCUCUGCUUGGUUAAGUUGUAGACUGUGGGUAUGAGACCUCUGGUUGCGAAGGAGGUAUGGAAAGGGUUUGAUUCUGUUUCAGCUGUCGUGGUGCUACCAGGUUUGCUGCUUUCCCAUCAGAGCAAAAAUUGAGAGGGAUAUAGGAAGGGCAGGUGGAGUCUAAACCUGGGUCUUCCUCGUUCAUCUGAAGUUCAGCAAAAUGACAAGCCAGAUCAAUGGCUGAAUUUCCUUCCCUUGUUGGGGGAGAUUCCAGUAUUUGUGAAUUUUGCACUUGAAGCUAACGAUCUCCAGGCUUUCUCCCAGCCUUCAUCAAACAUGGCUGUCUCCAGUUUUACCUGCUAUCAUCUGUGUAACUUCAUUAUUGUCCAAUAAAUUGUUAUUUUGAAGUCCCAGCAUUUUCCUGGCAUCUGUGAGGAAACACGACAAGAAGUAAGUACAAAUUAUAAAAUUUACUGAUAAAAACUUCUAAAUUUUUGUAUUUUAUUUGCAACUUAUUUUAGCCUUUCUGUUUUUUUCUAAAAUAAAACUUGUAUCUCUUAUGUUUAAGGAUCGAUAGUUGGCUUUAAAAAGGGAGAUUUGAAGACUUGCUUCUCAACCCACAGCUUCAGCCUCUGUGUGUAAAGAUAAACUGAAGGUGUCAUAUCAGGAAGUGAAAGGGAGGAGACUACUCCAAAGAAGCUGGGGAAAACUGAAAUAAGAAAUGAGAAAAGAAAAUGUGAUGAAGUCUAUCUUCCCUCGGCUAUGUGGAUGUUAACAGUGCGCCUUACUCUGUCUCAUGGAGCAGAAUGUCUUUGUGUAGGAUUAUGAUGCCAGUUAAGUCGUGGCAUCAUUUGGAGACCAGUCAUUCAGAAUGUAAGGAAAAAGGCAUUGAGUAUUUUAAGUGUAUACACUGUGAGCCUUUUGAAAACCAAAAAUGGUUCCAGCUUUUCAAACUGGAAAUGGAAAAGCCCCUGACUUACAGGAUAAGUUGUUACAUCGCUUUGCUUGGAGAAGCCCACACAAUAGCUGAGAGACUAGCCAAGUCUUCAGAUUGCUGAAUGCCCGCUGGAUGAAAAGUCAGUGAAAAAAUCAGGGCAGUGCCACUUCCAAGGUUACCUUGACUCAAAUUAAAGAUUUCGCUGCAAACAUGAAGACAGAGUUAAUAUCUUGUUUAGAAAUUUUACUUUUGCCUUACAAAUGAGCAGAUCUACAGACGCGGCUGGACUUGCUGUAUCAGCACCAACUACUCUUCGAAGAAUAUUUUCUCCUGUGUAGAUGCUCGGCAGCAAACAAGUGGUGAUAAAUAUUCAAAGGGUUGAAUAACUUUUUUGAAUCUCCUGGUUUAUCCUGGAACUACUUUGUUUACAUUCACGCUGUUGGUGCAGAAGUGUGGCAGAGAACACUGUUGGCACCAUAGCAUGAAUCAAGGAAGUGGCACCAGUUAAGUACUGUAGUCAUCGUAUCCUUCCUUGCCACAUGCUUGUGGUUAAAAAAAAGCCAUUUCACUUAAGAAUGUCCUGGAUGACACACUAAAAACGAUUGAUUUUAUUAAAACUCAACUCUCUCAUGAAUGUUUCUUUAAUAUUCUGAGUGAUGAAAUGGAAGGUAUCCAUGAAAUAUUACUGCUACUAACUAUAGUACAAUGAUUGUCUUGAGGAAGAGCAUUUGUGUGAUUGAGUGGAACCAGCAGCAUGAAACAUCAUUUUUACUUGAGAGAGCAACUGACAGACAAACCAUGAUUUUCUUGAACAUUUUCUUGAAAGUUAACAAAGUAAGCCUGACACUUUUGCUGGUUAAUAAAGUUCAAGUUUUUGAACAAAAAUCAGAAUUUUGGAAAACUUGUGGCUGUCACGGUGAACUUGAGACCUUCAGAAUACUUGAAGAUUGGUGGUAAAAUUAAUGAAUGUGAUUUUUUGAUAUACAAUGUCAUAUUUGGAAAUUCUGCAUAAUUCAGUGAAGAAUCUUUUCCAAAUUGCCAGUGGGCAGAAGAGCCACCGAAAGUGCAAGAUGACCACUGGAUUUUAAUGUAAAAGUAUGCAAAAGGUUCAUCGAUAAGAUUCCAGAUGCAGCUAAUCUUUAAAAACUACCAUUUGUUGAGUUUUGGUCUAGUAUCAAAGAAGGAAAUCCUCAGCAUCUGAAAGAUUAUUAAACUUUAUUUUCCACCUAUAGGUCUGUGUGAAAUCGGAUUGUCUUCAUCUACUUCAACCAAAACAACAUAUCGAAAUACACUGAAUGCAGAAGCAGUUAUAAUAAGUCAGCUGUCUUCCAGUUAAAGCAGAUAUUAAAGAGGUGUGCAAGAAUGUAAAACACUGCAACUCUUCUCAUGAAAUUUCUUUUUGUUCUGGAAAUCUAGUUUUUUAAAAUAUAUAUAUAAAAAUAGAUUAUUUGUAUAAACUUGUAAUGACUUAUUGUUAUUUUCAGUGAAUUAAUAAAUAUCUUUUUAAAAUUAUAAGAUUUAAUUUCUAAUAAGGUAACUGUUAAUAACUAUAAUCCACAUAAAAGAUCUUUGAGGUUCUCAGUAAUUUUUAAGAGUGUAAAGGAUUCGUAAGACCAGAAAGUGAGAAAACCAGUGUUGCAGACAAAACUUGGGUUGAUUAUCUGUGAUCUUGAUUGGUUGGUUACUUGCCAUGACUUCAUUAGGAGCCUUUGUUUUGCAGUUUCCCACCCCUUUCUGGGCUUUAAGAAGGUACUUGAUACUUUGGUUUGCUGUCCUAGUUCAGGAAGCUGGUUCUCAGUAACCUGAGGGACUUUGACCAAAGUUAGCUUAUUUUCUUCUGAUACAUAUAGCAUUGGCCUUGUUGUUUUUUUAUUUUUUUAUUUGUUUGUAUAUUAUUUUUUUCUUUAUUCUUUUAAGGCUUUUUCUCAUUUUGCUUGUUUAUUUUACUUCUAAUUUUUCUCAUUUUUCCUUUUUUUAUUCUCAUUUUUCUUUUUUAUUCUUUUUCUCUUUUUUUAAAUUUAGUUUGUUAGUCCUUGUUUUUGUUUUUUAUGUUUGUCUAGCAUUGUGUUUUGAUCAUGUAAGAUCAGUUUUGUUAGGUGGACUUCUUUGGUAUAUAUGAAGUUGUAGUUUGAUAAAUACAGUUUUUUCAUUAAAAAUAAGUUACUCAUUACAUGGCAUGAGUUUAAAUGAAUUAAUACCAAAAACCAUUGCCAUUGAGUUGAUUCCUACUCAUAGUGACCCUGUUAUAGGACAGAGUAGAACUGCCCCAUAGGGUUUCCAAGGAGCAGCUGGUAGAUUUAAACUGCUGACCUUUGGUUGGCAGCCAAGCUCUUAACCACUGUGCCACCAGGGCUGCAAUGAAUUAAUACAUAUUUAAAUCUUCUCUAAUUUUAAUUUCCACUGUAGUAAAUAUUGGUAAAUAUAAUGAGUAUGAACACAGCUUUUGGGAGACUCUAUUUUUAGCAAUACAAAGGGUUUCUGAAACCAAAAAGUGUAAGAAUCACUGUUGGAGACAAAAUAUGGGUUCAUUCUCCCUGGGUUUGGUAGGUUGAUUCCUUGAUGACUUCAUAAGAAACCUUUGUCUUGCAGUUCCUGGCCCCUAUUUAGUCCUGGCUGGGCCUCAGGGAGACACUGGCUGCCUUGGUUUGCAGUCCUUCUAGCUGAGGAAGCUGGUCCUCAGUGACCCAAGGGACUUUUACCAAAUUUGGUUUGUUUCUACCUCCUAAUACAUAGCAUUGUGAGCUUUAAAAAAAAAAAAAAAGUUUUUUUAUUUAUUUAAUUGUUUAUUUUGAGAUAGUUUUAAAUUUACAGAAGAGCUGCAAAAAUAGCCCAAAGAGUUCCUGUACAUUCUUUACCCAGCAUCCCCUUAUAUCAAUAUCCUGCACAACCAUAGAACAUGUAUCAAAACUAAGAAUUAAUCUUGGUAUAAUACUAUUAACCAAAGUACAGAAAUUCAGAUUCAUCUGUUUUUCCACUAAUGUGUUUUUUUUGCUCUAGGAUCCAACCCAGGAUCCCACAUUGUGUCAUGUCUCCAUAGUCUCCUCCAAUCUGUGACUGUUUCUCAGUCUUUCUUGAUGUUGGCAAUUUUGAAGAAUACUUGUAGUUAUUUUAUAGAAUGUUCUUCAGUUGUAGUCUUCUGUAAUUUUCUUAUGGCCUUGUACUUUAUCAUUUUAAAGAUUAGCUUACUUGGACUUCACUAUGAUAUGUAUUAAGCUGAUAUUUUGGAAAAUAGUUAUUUUUCAUAAAAAUUACAUAAUGUUUACUUGUGAUGGAUUUAGUAAUAUUUUAAAUGAAUUAACAUUUUCUCAGUUUUAAUUUCUAAUACGGGAAGUAUUAAUAUCUAUACCGCACAUAAACAAAAGCUAUUUGAGACACUUAAUAAUUAAGAGUGGUAAAGGAUUUCCAGACAAAAGUAUGAGAAUCCCUUUUUGACAAAUACAGGGUUGAUUGUCCCUGACCUUGAUUGGUUGGUUAUUUGCUGUGACCUCAUAAUGAGCCUUUGUCUUGUAAUUCCCAGCCCCUGUUUAGUCCAUGGAGCUGUAGUCUUGCAGUGGUUAAGAGCUUGGCUACUCACCAAAAGGUCGGAAGUUCGAAUCCACCAGUCACUCCUUGGAAACCCAGUGGGGCGGUUCUACUCUGUCCUAUAGGGUCACUAUGAGUCGGAAUUGACUUUAACAGCAAUGGGUUUUUGUUUUUGUUUUUGUUUUUUUUUGUUAUUUAGCCCUAGCUGGGCCUGAGGUAGAUACUCACUGCCUUGGUUUGCAGUUCUAGCUGAGGAGGCUGGUUCUCAGUGACCUGAGGGACUUUGACCAAAUUUGGCUUGUUUCCUCCUUCUAAUACAUGACAUGGCCUUUUUUUUUUUUUUUUUUUUAAUCUAUUAAAAA